UACGUAGGGAGCAAGCGUUGUUCGGAUUUACUGGGCGUAAAGGGCUCGUAGGCGGCCAACUAAGUCGGAUGUGAAAUCCCCAGGCUUAACCUGGGAACUGCAUCCGAUACUGGAUGGCUUGAAUCCGGGAGAGGGAUGCAGAAUUCCAGGUGUAGCGGUGAAAUGCGUAGAUAUCUGGAGGAAUACCGGUGGCGAAGGCGGCAUCCUGGACCGGCAUUGACGCUGAGUGAGCGAAAGCCAGGGGAGCAAACGGG
rnacentral:rRNA from 1 species